rnacentral:tRNA from 1 species
GGCGGCGUAGCUCAGCUGGCUAGAGCGACGGUCUCAUAAUCCGUAGGUCCGCGGUUCGAGUCCGCGCGCCGCCACCA